CCAGACUCCUACGGGAGGCAGCAGUGGGGAAUAUUGCACAAUGGGGGAAACCCUGAUGCAGCGACGCCGCGUGAGUGAAGAAGUAUUUCGGUAUGUAAAGCUCUAUCAGCAGGGAAGAAAAUGACGGUACCUGAUUAAGAAGCCCCGGCUAACUACGUGCCAGCAGCCGCGGUAAUACGUAGGGGGCAAGCGUUAUCCGGAUUUACUGGGUGUAAAGGGAGCGUAGACGGUUCUGCAAGUCUGAAGUGAAAGCCCGUGGCUUAACCGCGGAACUGCUUUGGAAACUGUGCGGCUGGAGUGCAGGAGGGGUAAGCGGAAUUCCUAGUGUAGCGGUGAAAUGCGUAGAUAUUAGGAGGAACACCGGUGGCGAAGGCGGCUUACUGGACUGUAACUGACGUUGAGGCUCGAAAGCGUGGGGAGCAAACAGGAUUAGAUACCCGCGUAAG
rnacentral:rRNA from 1 species